rnacentral:rRNA from 1 species
AGAGGGAAACAACCCAGACCGCCAGCUAAGGUCCCAAAGUCAUGGUUAAGUGGGAAACGAUGUGGGAAGGCCCAGACAGCCAGGAUGUUGGCUUAGAAGCAGCCAUCAUUUAAAGAAAGCGUAAUAGCUCACUGGUCGAGUCGGCCUGCGCGGAAGAUGUAACGGGGCUAAACCAUGCACCGAAGCUGCGGCAGCGACACUAUGUGUUGUUGGGUAGGGGAGCGUUCUGUAAGCCUGUGAAGGUGUGCUGUGAGGCAUGCUGGAGGUAUCAGAAGUGCGAAUGCUGACAUAAGUAACGAUAAAGCGGGUGAAAAGCCCGCUCGCCGGAAGACCAAGGGUUCCUGUCCAACGUUAAUCGGGGCAGGGUGAGUCGACCCCUAAGGCGAGGCCGAAAGGCGUAGUCGAUGGGAAACAGGUUAAUAUUCCUGUACUUGGUGUUACUGCGAAGGGGGGACGGAGAAGGCUAUGUUGGCCGGGCGACGGUUGUCCCGGUUUAAGCGUGUAGGCUGGUUUUCCAGGCAAAUCCGGAAAAUCAAGGCUGAGGCGUGAUGACGAGGCACUACGGUGCUGAAGCAACAAAUGCCCUGCUUCCAGGAAAAGCCUCUAAGCAUCAGGUAACAUCAAAUCGUACCCCAAACCGACACAGGUGGUCAGGUAGAGAAUACCAAGGCGCUUGAGAGAACUCGGGUGAAGGAACUAGGCAAAAUGGUGCCGUAACUUCGGGAGAAGGCACGCUGAUAUGUAGGUGAAGCGACUUGCUCGUGGAGCUGAAAUCAGUCGAAGAUACCAGCUGGCUGCAACUGUUUAUUAAAAACACAGCACUGUGCAAACACGAAAGUGGACGUAUACGGUGUGACGCCUGCCCGGUGC